rnacentral:rRNA from 1 species
UACGUAGGUGGCAAGCGUUGUCCGGAAUUAUUGGGCGUAAAGCGCGCGCAGGCGGCCUCUUAAGUCUGAUGUGAAAGCCCACGGCUCAACCGUGGAGGGUCAUUGGAAACUGGGGGGCUUGAGUGCAGAAGAGGAGAGCGGAAUUCCACGUGUAGCGGUGAAAUGCGUAGAGAUGUGGAGGAACACCAGUGGCGAAGGCGGCUCUCUGGUCUGUAACUGACGCUGAGGCGCGAAAGCGUGGGGAGCGAACAGG